GACAGAGGUCCCGAGCGUUAGGCGGAAUCACUGGGCUUAAAGCGUGUGUAGGCGGAUCCGUAAGUACCUUGUGAAAUCCCACGGCUUAACCGUGGAACUGCUUGGUAUACUGCGGGUCUUGAGCCACCUAGGGGCGAGCGGAACAAACGGUGGAGCGGUGAAAUGCGUAGAUAUCGCCUGGAACGCCGAAGGUGAAAACAGCUUGCUGGGGGCGUACCGACGCUGAGACACGAAAGCCAGGGGAGCGAACGGG
rnacentral:rRNA from 1 species